GAGAGAGAGAGAGAGAGAGAGAGAGAGAGAGAGAGAGAGAGAGUAAGAGAGAGAAACGUGAGAGAUUCUGUCGCCAUUUAACGCCCGCUUGCCACGAAACCGUCAACCGUUCAGUUCCGUGAUUUCUUCGUAUCGCGAAAAUUGAUUUUUUCCUUUUUUUUCCCCGAGGUCAUGGAACGUGCCUCCAAUUCGCGAUAAUCCCAUUAAAACCGAACGGAAUUAUUUGACAGUUAUGCGUGGAAAAUAAAAAUAAAGAAAGAAAGAA